rnacentral:rRNA from 1 species
AUUGAACGCUGGCGGCAGGCCUAACACAUGCAAGUCGAACGGUAGCACAGAGAGCUUGCUCUCGGGUGACGAGUGGCGGACGGGUGAGUAAUGUCUGGGAAACUGCCUGAUGGAGGGGGAUAACUACUGGAAACGGUAGCUAAUACCGCAUAAUGUCGCAAGACCAAAGAGGGGGACCUUCGGGCCUCUUGCCAUCGGAUGUGCCCAGAUGGGAUUAGCUUGUUGGGGAGGUAAAGGCUCACCAAGGCGACGAUCCCUAGCUGGUCUGAGAGGAUGACCAGCCACACUGGAACUGAGACACGGUCCAGACUCCUACGGGAGGCAGCAGUGGGGAAUAUUGCACAAUGGGCGCAAGCCUGAUGCGGCCAUGCCGCGUGUGCGAAGAAGGCCUUCGGGUUGUAAAGCACUUUCAGCGGGGAGGAAGGCGGUGAGUUUAAUGAGCUCACCGAUUGACGUUACCCGCAGAAGAAGCACCGGCUAACUCCGUGCCAGCCGCCGCUGUAA